CGGUGCCACGUCCUUCGAYGUGUACGCCACRCCCGCRGUCACCGUGCACGUGAUCCACAGCCCCACCACCAAGCCGGGCAYCGACGCCAGGUGGCCCCUGGACCCYGACAUUGAGGUGAUGGUGACCAUCGAUGUCACCAGCAGGACCAUCGAUGACAACCAGGUGAAGAUCGCCUACUACAGCCGCAAGGGUGAUGAGCUGGCAGUGGCCUGGCUGUACCUGACCUGUGUCGGUAGGUGCUCCCUGCACUGGGCUCUGGCCGUGUGUGAGCCAUGUCCAUUCCUGGGGGGCCAUAGAGCUUUGGGUGCUCAUCAGUGCUGACGAGCCAGGGGGAAAUCAUUAAAACGUGAUAGCCCCUCAUUUGGGGUGCCAGAGACAAAGCCGGGCCAGUCCCCAACCAGGGGCACUCAGAGCAUCCGCCCCCCUCCUCCUCCUCCUCCUCAUCCUCUUCCUCCUCUUCCUUCUCCUCCUCCUCCUCCUCCUCUUGCCAAGGCCAUUCCUUUGGGACAAAGAUCCUGGGGUGAUCUCUGGUGGCCGUCAGGGGACAGUGACCGGCGCCCGGUGGUGCCUGACCUGUUCCAGACAUUUGUGACAGGUGAAUCACUGCCUUCCCCCGCUGACUACAAAGGCAGUCUAGACAGCCGGGCUGCUCCACUCCGAUGGAUUCAUUACCCUAAAUUUGGCAUUUUCUGAAAAGCUCACAUGACAGUCACACCUGAGUCCUCCAGCCAGGCCUACGCCUCCCAAAAUUGCUCCUGGAGAGGUUGAAGCUUUCCCACGUCUCACCUCCAAAAUUUCCACCUUGCAAAAUAUUCCUCUCGGCUGGAUUUCGGGUUUCCCUUCCAGCUUUUCYGUGUCCUCCUCUCUUCCUGGGGGAAAGAUGAUUUUUAGUUUUAGUUUUUGGAUUUCCCGCGUGUCGUGGACCCUGCCCCGAGGAGUUUCCAUGUUGGGAUUGAUGUUUCGGGUUUGGAUGGGGCCACUCGUGAAUCACAGGAGCUGAGGCAGAAAUUUGGGGUGGGAGGAGCUCUGUGGAGGAAAACCCUUCUCAGAUUUCCUGGGGAUCUUCAGGCGUUCGCUCAACCGCGGUGAAAACGCAUUUUUGUGUCUCCGCCGCGUUUUGGCGUCAUGGAAAUCRCGACAGCCGGAAGGAAAUUGGUGAAAAUGUAAAAAAUGGUGUGAAAACAUAAAAUCUGCCACAAAAACAUAAAAAAAAUGCCACGGAAACCAAAAAUGUAUCAUGAAAACUUAAAAAACAGCAUGAAAACAUUAAAAAUGGCAUGAAUACAUAAAAAAUGGCAUGAAAACAUAAAAUAUGGCAUGAAAACAUAAAAAAUGGCAUGAAAACAUAAAAAAUGCCAUGGAAACAUCAAAUAUGCCAUAAAAGCUUGAAAAAUGCCAUGGAAACAAAAUUUGCCAUAAGAACAUAACAAAUGCUAUGAAAACAUAAAAA